rnacentral:tRNA from 1 species
GGGGAUAUAGCUCAGUUGGUAGAGUGCUUGCCUUGCAUGCAUGAGGCCCUGGGUUCAAUCCCCAGCACCACA